rnacentral:rRNA from 1 species
GUGAAUCAUCGAAUCUUUGAACGCAUCUUGCGCUCCUUGGUAUUCCGAGGAGCAUGCCUGUUUGAGUGUCAUCAAGUUCUCAACCAUACCUCGGUGUGGCUUGGAUCUGGGGGGUUUUUGCAGGCUUCAAAGAAAGUCGGCUCCCCUGAAAAGCAUUAGCGGUGUCAGAGUACCUUUGGUGUGAUAACUAUCAAUGCCUUGGUGUAUACGAUGCAUGCUGCUUCUGAACUUCAUUUUUAUUGACAAAUUUGACCUCAAAUCAGGUAGGAAUACCCGCUGAACUUAAGCAUAUCAAUAAGCGGAGG